AGAGAGUGAGAGAGAAUAAAUGAAUGAAAGAGAGUGAGAGAACUCUCUUUCAUUCAUUUAUUCACUCUCUUUCAUUCAUUUAUUCUCUCUCACUGUCUUUCA
rnacentral:pre_miRNA from 1 species